rnacentral:rRNA from 1 species
CCUGAGGAGUACGGCCGCAAGGCUAAAACUUAAAGGAAUUGACGGGGACCCGCACAAGCGGUGGAGCAUGUGGUUUAAUUCGAAGAUACGCGAAAAACCUUACCAGGUCUUGACAUACCAAUGAUCGCUUUUGUAAUGAAAGCUUUUCUUCGGAACAUUGGAUACAGGUGGUGCAUGGUCGUCGUCAGCUCGUGUCGUGAGAUGUUGGGUUAAGUCCCGCAACGAGCGCAACCCUUGUUAUUAGUUGCCAGCAUUUAGUUGGGCACUCUAAUGAGACUGCCGGUGAUAAACCGGAGGAAGGUGGGGACGACGUCAGAUCAUCAUGCCCCUUAUGACCUGGGCAACACACGUGCUACAAUGGGAAGUACAACGAGUCGCAAACCGGCGACGGUAAGCUAAUCUCUUAAAACUUCUCUCAGUUCGGACUGGAGUCUGCAACUCGACUCCACGAAGGCGGAAUCGCUAGUAAUCGCGAAUCAGCAUGUCGCGGUGAAUACGUUCCCGGGUCUUGUACACACCGCCCGUCAAAUCAUGGGAGUCGGAAGUACCCAAAGUCGCUUGGCUAACUUUUAGAGGCCGGUGCCUAAGGUAAAAUCGAUGACUGGGAUUAAGUCGUAACAAGGUAGCCGUAGGAGAACCUGCGGCUGGAUCACCUCCUUUCUAAGGA